rnacentral:tRNA from 2 species
GGGGGCGUAGCCCAAUCGGCAGAGGCAGCGGACUUAAAAUCCGUACAGUGUGGGUUCGAGUCCCACCGCCCCUACUA